CACCUCUCAAGGUCGCAUCUAGAGAGUUACCAGUAUUCUACCAGUCUCGGCUACAGGAGGGAGAGUCAAGCAGAGGCCUAUCCAUUCUAUUCCACUCCUAGCUUGGCAAAUGGCUAGUGAGUGGAAGGCAGUCUGCCACAAGU